rnacentral:rRNA from 1 species
ACGCUCGACACCUACGGGCAGCAGUUAGGAAUAUUGGGCAAUGGAGGAAACUCUGACCCAGCAACGCCGCGUGAAGGAAGAAGGUUUUCGGAUUGUAAACUUCUGAUCUAGGGGAAGAAGGAAGUGACGGUACCCUAGGAGAAAGCCACGGCUAACUACGUGCCUGCAGCCGCGGUAAUCUGAGCGGGCUGGCAAGGC